rnacentral:rRNA from 1 species
CAGCCGCCGCGGGAAUACGUAGGGUGCAAGCGUUAAUCGGAAUUACUGGGCGUAAAGCGUGCGCAGGCGGUUUGUUAAGACAGAUGUGAAAUCCCCGGGCUCAACCUGGGAACUGCAUUUGUGACUGGCAAGCUAGAGUGUGGCAGAGGGGGGUGGAAUUCCGCGUGUAGCAGUGAAAUGCGUAGAUAUGCGGAGGAACACCGAUGGCGAAGGCAGCCCCCUGGGCCAACACUGACGCUCAUGCACGAAAGCGUGGGGAGCAAACAGGAUUAGAGACCCCCGUAGUCCUGUCUCUUAUACC